rnacentral:rRNA from 1 species
GACAGAGGGUGCGAACGUUGUUCGGAUUCACUGGGCUUAAAGGGCGCGUAGGCGGGUCAGCAAGUCUGGGGUGAAAGCUUUCGGCUCAACCGGAAAAGGGCCUUGGAUACUGCUGGUCUGGAGGAAGGUAGGGGCGUGUGGAACUUCCGGUGGAGCGGUGAAAUGCGUAGAUAUCGGAAGGAACGCCGGUGGCGAAAGCGACACGCUGGACCUUUUCUGACGCUGAGGCGCGAAAGCCAGGGGAGCAAACGGG